UAGAAAACGGAUUCCUUGAACUACGCAGCAUUGGAGUGUGAGGGAAGACGAACAGUGGAUGACCCAGAAGAGUCUGUUAUCUGCUGUCAGAGAAACCUGCAACUGAAAUCCAUCGAUCUGGUCGAAAUAUAGUUAGAAUUCCUCAAUAUUGUGAUGCAUCUGAAGUAUAUUUCCAAAGGUGUUAAAAGUACAAGCUUAAAAUACGUUGAGAGAAGAUAAGGUAAACAGUAACAUUACGACAAUGCUCGGAUAGCACUCAACAAUAGCGAGAGAGAUGAUAGGAAGCAAUACUUAAAGCGCUAUUUUUCAUUAGCUUGUAGUAUUAACUACCACUUAACAUUGGUCGUUAUACAAUGCUUCAGUUUCUGAAGCUGCACAGAGCACAUUCACUUGGGCUCAUUUUGGUUCUAGCCAUAAUGUGUGUCCUUGCCGAAUGUUUUUGUGUCGCUGUAAAAAUGUUCAUGUGUUUCAUUCAUUUUCAAACGUUCUAAAUUUUUUGUUAAUAAUGGAAUUUAAUGAAUUGAUGGAUUUUCUAUUGUUUAUCUGAUGUGCUGCAAAGAUGAAUCUAUCCACUGGUGUUUGUGCAUUUCUGAGGUGUUGAUGAAAAUAAGAAUUGGAACACCAAUUGGAACAUUUCUAUGUACAAAGAAAGUGAAUCCCUCAUAUUUCUUUUCAAGUAGACAUUACAUCAGUGUUUAUCAAAGAAUGGCUGAAUAAUCACUAUUAAGUAUGAUAUCCUCACCUGAAAGUUACUAUUUAACAAUCUAUGUUUAGAUAAAAAAACAAUGUAAUAUUUUUAUUAUAAUAAAACAAUUUGUAGUGCUGUAUAGUUCAUAAUUUCAUAUUUUGUGUGUAUAUAAGAUGUAAAAACAGUUGUAUCAUAUGCAAUAGGUAUCAGUUAUGCAGUUACGGAGUAAAAAUGAGGAUAUCACCGGGAUGCAACAGAUUUGGCUCUUAUAUUCAUAAGGCAUAUUUAAAAUUUAAAUGUAUUAAAAAAAAAUAAUUUAUAUUUUAAGCUGCUUCAAGAAAUGGAAGCCUCUAAAAACCUUAGAGGCCAAUAAAGCCUGAUUCUGAAAAAGCACAUAAAGAUACCUACAUAUUUCCUUCUUGUUAUUUUUUUACCACUGUGGUGGAAACCGAGAGCAUCGCCCCAAGCAGGGGCUGAGCUGAGGGGCGAGGACUGUGGCUACACGUCUCUGUUCUACACGCACAACCAGCGCUCUGAAACAUCCAUCGACCUGGCUCAAGGUCAACAGGACGUGCUGCUGCGGUUAUUCAGUAAACAAGCAUGAAAUGCACACGCAUUUCCUAUCACUGACCGAACCUGAAAGGGGAUUUUUGUGUUUGUGAAGAGAGAUUUUUUUAUGGGUACUGGGUGAACUGAAUGAUAUGGCCACAUGUUAUGUACAAUAUACAAUAACUCUACACAAUACUAUUAUUUGAAGUAAGACACUGUUUGUAAAAACAACAUGACAUUGAUUCAACAUUGUCCCCAUUGUUGACGCCUUUGUUGUGUCUCGUCCUGUUUGGCCAGGUAGCUGCCAGAGGUGAUGGGAGGACGAGACAGCUGAUCGGUGAGCUGAGGCUGGCCGCCAUCAAACUGAGACCAGCGCAGGCUGGACAGGACACUGACUUCAUGGACAGUGAGGAAGGCAGUGGAUCUGCGGGAGGAGACAGAGGAGGGAGGUACAAUGAUGAUUGGCCAGGCUAUUGGCCUAACUCCCCGCCUUACAACCAACCCUCGCAACUCCUCUUCCCACCCUGCCAACAUCUCUCGUGUACGAAGCGGCUCAAUGUGGAGAAAUGUAUGCUUGUACAUUAUUGGCUUUGCAUAGACUUAACAAAAAUGAAAUAGAAAGUUAACAUUGAUAAUGUUCCUCAAUUAUUCUAUGCAGAAUAAAACAACAACACAAGACAAUGCCUGAAGCUGUUGGAGUUAGAUGUUUUUGUAAUCAGCCAAAAUACAGCACAAUGAGAAUGUAUAUUGGCAAGGACACUUUCUGUUAAACAGCAACUUAAGAAACCUUUAUUUGUGAGGGGGGGGGGGGCAAAGAGGUUUUUUUCGGUUAAUGUUGAGCAUUAGCAUUGAGGUUUUUCUGUAUUGGUGAACUUUGAUAUAAUGCUCCUGCCUAAAGUUAUUUCAUUACUUUUCAUUACUUGAGAACCAGUAUUAAACAAAAAUGGCACAGUAA